GGGCCAGGGGAGAGAGGAAGCUGAUUUGCAUGAAGCACUUCCUUAUUCUCAUAGGUGUGGAGUCAAGAAAAGGCCCAGGGACACCCUACUCUGGCCGAAGAGCCUGUGAGACCACAUCCUGUGAGGGUUCCCACCAUGGCCUGGAUGGUGCUUCUUUUUGGGGUCCUUGCUUAUGGCUCAGGAGCAGAUUCUCAGACUGUGGUGACUCAGGAGUCAUCAGUCUCAGUGUCUCCAGGAGGGACAGUCACACUCACGUGUGACCUCAGCUCUGGGUCAGUGACUACAAGUAACAACCCCAGCUGGUACCAGCAGACCCAAGGCCGAUCUCCUCGCAUGCUUAUCUAUGACACAAGCAGCUGUCCCUCGGAGGUCCCUGAUCGCUUCUCUGGAUCCAUUUCUGGGAACACAGCUGCCCUCACCAUCACAGGAGCCCAGCCUGAGGACAAGGCUGACUACUACUGUAGUAUGCAUGAUGUCAGUGGGAGCAGCUACAAUUACCCACAGCAUCUCAGAUAA